rnacentral:rRNA from 1 species
GAUGAACGCUGGCGGCGUGCCUAAUACAUGCAAGUCGAGCGAACGGACGAGAAGCUUGCUUCUCUGAUGUUAGCGGCGGACGGGUGAGUAACACGUGGAUAACCUACCUAUAAGACUGGGAUAACUUCGGGAAACCGGAUCUAAUACCGGAUAAUAUUUUGAACCGCAUGGUUCAAAAGUGAAAGACGGUCUUGCUGUCACUUAUAGAUGGAUCCGCGCUGCAUUAGCUAGUUGGUAAGGUAACGGCUUACCAAGGCAACGAUGCAUAGCCGACCUGAGAGGGUGAUCGGCCACACUGGAACUGAGACACGGUCCAGACUCCUACGGGAGGCAGCAGUAGGGAAUCUUCCGCAAUGGGCGAAAGCCUGACGGAGCAACGCCGCGUGAGUGAUGAAGGUCUUCGGAUCGUAAAGCUCUGUUAUUAGGGAAGAACAUAUGUGUAAGUAACUGUGCACAUCUUGACGGUACCUAAUCAGAAAGCCACGGCUAACUACGUG